GUCCGCACGGUAAACGAUGGAUACUCGCUGUUGGCGAUAGACUGUCAGCGGCCAAGCGAAAGCGUUAAGUAUCCCACCUGGGGAGUACGCCGGCAACGGUGAAACUCAAAGGAAUUGACGGGGGCCCGCACAAGCGGAGGAACAUGUGGUUUAAUUCGAUGAUACGCGAGGAACCUUACCCGGGCUUGAACUGCAGUGGAAUUAUCCGGAAACGGAUAAGCGAGCAAUCGCCGCUGUGGAGGUGCUGCAUGGUUGUCGU
rnacentral:rRNA from 1 species